rnacentral:lncRNA from 1 species
AGCAAGUAUCAGGUUAUUCUUUUGGCAGGAAAAGAGACAUGUUGGGAGGAAGAAGGCUGUCCCUUGGUAGGAGAAACCAUGUUUAACAAGGAGGCUGCUAAUCCAUGUGGCAGCCAUUUUAAGGCACAGAGCAUUAUGGGAAGGAGGCUACUGUUUUAUGUAACAGUCAUCUUGAGGCAAAGGAAAUCUAACAGUUUUGCUGGAUUCCUGGGAAGAGAGAUUUCAAAGACUUAUAUAUAUAUAUAAAAAGCCUGGUCUCAGAAGGAAGCUAUAGCAUCUGAAGAAACAAAGUUCCUUCCUAACGCUACCUAGCUCAUGCUAUCUCUGGAAUCAAAUGGUAUAUUAAGGUAUUGUGGUAGAUUUCUAACUCUGAAAUGAAGUUAAUUCGCUUAGCAAAGUUC